rnacentral:lncRNA from 1 species
UAUCUUUUUUUCUUAUUUUAUCAUUCUCGGUUAUUUUUUAUUGCAUUUUUAUAAUUUUUCAUUAACUUUUUCUCCUUUCAAAUUUUUCUUCUUUUUUUUUAUGUGCUUUCAUUUUUUUUUUGUUCACUUUUUUCUUUGUUUUAAAAUUUUCUAUAAAUUUUUUUCUUUUCGUUUUAUUUCAUAUUUUUGCCUCUUCAUUUUUUAUUUUUUUCUUCUUUUCCUCAUUUUUUUCUCAAAUUUUAUUUUAUAUAUUUUGUAUUUUCAUUUUUUAUUUUUUUCUUGCUUUCUCUUAAAUCUUUUUGUUCGCACUUUUUUUAUUUCUUCUUUAUAAUUUUAAAACCUCAAACUUCUUUUUUUGUGCACAUUCUUUUAUUUUUAUUUAUAUUUUUUAUUAACUUUUAUUUUAUUUUUCAUCUUUUUCCUCUAUUUGUUAUAUAUAUAUAUAUAUAUAUUUUGUUUUCUUUGUGCAUUCUAAACUAAAAGUUUUUUCCAUUUUGUAUUUGAAAUUUUUAUUCAUUUUGUCUUUUUAUAUUUUUUUGAUUCGUAAAUUUUUUAUUUUCUUACUUUGUUACUUUUUAUUUUUUUCCUUUUUUCGUAUUUUAUUUUAUUUUUUCUUUUAUAUUAAUAUUUUCUCUUAAUUUAUUUUUUAUUUAUAUUUUAAAAAAUUUUUAUAAAGUUCAAAAUUUUUUAUUUUUUCAUUUUCCUAUUUUUUUGUCUAUUUUUUUUGCUAUUUUUUGUUCUAUUUUAUAAAUUUUCAAUAACUUUUUCCCUUCAAAAUUUUCUUUCUUUUUGCCUUUUUUUCAUAUGCUUUUGUUUUUAUUUGUUUUAAUUCUUUCAUUGUUUUAAAAUUAUUUAUAUUUCUUAAGCUUUUUUUAUUCCAAAUCUUUUCUUUUCAUUUUUAUUCUUUUCUUUUUUUUCACAAAUUUCCUUUCACUUCUUAUUUGCGUUUUUAAAUUCUCAUACUUUUUUUUUUUUGCACUUUCUCCUUUGGUUUUCAUUUUUAUUUUGAAUUAACUUUUCUCUUUUUUAAUUUUUUGCCUUUGACUUUUUAUAUUGUUUUCUCAUUAUGUCUUAUAUGUUUUUCAAUUUUUUGUAUUUUUUGAACUUUUUUUUUUAUUUUGUCUUUUUUAUUUUCUUACUUUUUAUAUUUUUAUUGUAUUUUUGUUCAUCUUUUUAUUUUGGUUUAUUUUUUUAUUUUAUCAUUGUUGGUUAUUUUCUAUUGCAUUUUUAUAAUUUUUCUUUAACUUUUUCUCCUUUCAAAUUUUUCUUCUUUUUUUUACUUAUUUUUUCACGUGCUUUCAUAUUUUUUUUGUUUUCACUUUUUUCUUUUUGUUUUAUUUCAUAAUUUUGACUCUUCAUUUUUUAUUUUUUUCUUGUUUUAACUUUUUUUUUUUGCACUUCCUUGUCUUGUUUUUAUUUUUAUUUUGUAUUAACUUUUUCCCUUUGUUAAUUUUUUUGUCUUUGAUUUUUUUUAUUUUUUUCUUAUUACUUUUUUGCUUAUGUUUUCUAAAUUAAUUUUUUCUAUUUUGUAAUCCCUUUUCAUUUUUUAUCUCCUUUUACUUUUUUAUCUUUCAUUUUUUAUACCUUUAUUUCUUAUUGUUUGUUAUAUUUUUUUUAUUUUUUGUUCGUAUUUUAUAAACUAAUUUUUUUUUUACAAUUUUAAAACCUCUAACUUCUUUUUUUGUGCACUUCCUUUUGUUUUUAUUCCUUUUUUUGUUAACUUUUAUUUUAUUUUUUAUCUUUGAUUUUUUAUAUCUUUUUCUUGUAUUUGUUUUUUUUUUUCUUUAAACUAAAAGUUUUUUCUGUUUUAUAUUUCAAAUUUCUAUUCAUUUUGUCUUUUUAUAUUUUUUUGAUUUGCUAACUUUUUAUUUUCUUACUUUUUUAUUUUUUUUCCAUUUUUGGUAUUUUAUUUUAUUUUUUCUUUUAUAUUACUAUUUUUUAUUUAUAUUUUUAAAAAAUUUUAUAAAAUUUAAAAUAAUUAUUUUUUGAAUCUUUUUUCUUUUUUCAUUUUCAUUUUUUUUGUUCUAUGUUGUAAUUUUUAAAUAACUUUUUCCCUUCAAAGUUUUCUUUCUUUUUGCUUUUUUUUUUUUUUUCAUCUGCUUUCAGUGUUGCUUGUUUUAAUUUUUUUGUUGUUUUAAAAUUUUUUAUAUUUCUUUUUUCCUUUUUUAUUCCAAAUCUUUUGUCUUUUCAUUUUUAUUCUUUUCUUGCUUUUCUUAUUUUUUUCACAAAUUUCCUUUCAUUUCUUAUUUGCAUCUUUAAAUUAUUAGACUUUUUUUGUGCACUCUCUUUUGUUUUUAUUUUAUUUUUUAUCUUUGAUUUUUAUAUUUUUUCCUAUAUUUGUUAUAUUUUUUUUUUGUUUUUCUUUGUAUAUUCUGAACUAAAAGUUUUUUCUAUUUUGUAUUUGAAAUUUUUAUUCAUUUUUCUUUUAUAUUUUUUUAUUCGCUAAUUUUUUAAUAUCUUACUUUUUUAUGUUUUGCUUUUUUGGUAUUUUAUUGAAUUUUUUCUUCUAUAUUAAUAUUUUAUCUUAAUUUAUUUUUCCAUUUAUUUUUAUUUAUAUUUUAAAAAAUUUUUAUAAAGUUCAAAAUUUUUUUUUUAUUUUCCCUUUUUUUUUUUGCUAUUUUUGUUCUACUUUGUAAUUUUUUAAUAACUUUUUCCCUUCAAAUUUUUCCUUCUUUUUGCUUUUUUUCAUAUGCUUUCAUUUUUACUUGUUUUAAUUUUUUCGUUAUUUUAAAAAUUUUUAUUUUUUUCUUUUUUAUUCCAAAUCUUUUGUCUUUUCAUUUUUAUUCUUUUCUUGCUUUUCUUAUUUUUUUUUCACAAAUUUCCUUUCAUUUCUUAUUUGCGUUUUUAAAUUCUCGUACUUUUUUUAUUUUGCAUUAACUUUUCUCUUUUUUAAUUUUUUUUCUCACUUUUUAUAUUGUUUUAUUAUUAGGCUUAUAUGUUUUUCAAUUUUUUUCCUUUUUUAUUUUCUUACUUUUUAUAUUUUUUGUUGUAUUUUUGUUUUUUUUCUUUUUUUGUGCUUUAUUUAUCUUUUUUCUUUUGCUUUAAUUUUUUUUCUUAUUUUAUUUUUAUUUUUUAUUUCUUUCUUUUUUUAUAGUUUCAUAAAUUUUUGUUAAGUUUUCAAAUUUUUUAUUUUUCUAUCUUUUUUUCUUAUUUUAUCAUUCUCGGUUAUUUUUUAUUGCAUUUUUAUAAUUUUUCAUUAACUUUUUCUCCUUUCAAAUUUUUCUUCUUUUUUUUUAUGUGCUUUCAUUUUUUUUUUGUUCACUUUUUUCUUUGUUUUAAAAUUUUCUAUAAAUUUUUUUCUUUUCGUUUUAUUUCAUAUUUUUGCCUCUUCAUUUUUUAUUUUUUUCUUCUUUUCCUCAUUUUUUUCUCAAAUUUUAUUUUAUAUAUUUUGUAUUUUCAUUUUUUAUUUUUUUCUUGCUUUCUCUUAAAUCUUUUUGUUCGCACUUUUUUUUAUUUCUUCUUUAUAAUUUUAAAACCUCAAACUUCUUUUUUUGUGCACAUUCUUUUAUUUUUAUUUAUAUUUUUUAUUAACUUUUAUUUUAUUUUUCAUCUUUUUCCUCUAUUUGUUAUAUAUAUAUAUAUAUAUUUUGUUUUCUUUGUGCAUUCUAAACUAAAAGUUUUUUCCAUUUUGUAUUUGAAAUUUUUAUUCAUUUUGUCUUUUUAUAUUUUUUUGAUUCGUAAAUUUUUUAUUUUCUUACUUUGUUACUUUUUAUUUUUUUCCUUUUUUCGUAUUUUAUUUUAUUUUUUCUUUUAUAUUAAUAUUUUCUCUUAAUUUAUUUUUUAUUUAUAUUUUAAAAAAUUUUUAUAAAGUUCAAAAUUUUUUAUUUUUUCAUUUUCCUAUUUUUUUGUCUAUUUUUUUUUGCUAUUUUUUGUUCUAUUUUAUAAAUUUUCAAUAACUUUUUCCCUUCAAAAUUUUCUUUCUUUUUGCCUUUUUUUCAUAUGCUUUUGUUUUUAUUUGUUUUAAUUCUUUCAUUGUUUUAAAAUUAUUUAUAUUUCUUAAGCUUUUUUUAUUCCAAAUCUUUUCUUUUCAUUUUUAUUCUUUUCUUUUUUUCACAAAUUUCCUUUCACUUCUUAUUUGCGUUUUUAAAUUCUCAUACUUUUUUUUUUUUGCACUUUCUCCUUUGGUUUUCAUUUUUAUUUUGAAUUAACUUUUCUCUUUUUUAAUUUUUUGCCUUUGACUUUUUAUAUUGUUUUCUCAUUAUGUCUUAUAUGUUUUUCAAUUUUUUGUAUUUUUUGAACUUUUUUUUUAUUUUGUCUUUUUUAUUUUCUUACUUUUUAUAUUUUUAUUGUAUUUUUGUUCAUCUUUUUAUUUUGGUUUAUUUUUUUAUUUUAUCAUUGUUGGUUAUUUUCUAUUGCAUUUUUAUAAUUUUUCUUUAACUUUUUCUCCUUUCAAAUUUUUCUUCUUUUUUUUACUUAUUUUUUCACGUGCUUUCAUAUUUUUUUUGUUUUCACUUUUUUAUUCUUUUUUGUUUUAUUUCAUAAUUUUGACUCUUCAUUUUUUAUUUUUUUCUUGUUUUAACUUUUUUUUUUUGCACUUCCUUGUCUUGUUUUUAUUUUUAUUUUGUAUUAACUUUUUCCCUUUGUUAAUUUUUUUGUCUUUGAUUUUUUUUAUUUUUUCUUAUUACUUUUUUGCUUAUGUUUUCUAAAUUAAUUUUUUCUAUUUUGUAAUCCCUUUUCAUUUUUUAUCUCCUUUUACUUUUUUAUCUUUCAUUUUUUAUACCUUUAUUUCUUAUUGUUUGUUAUAUUUUUUUUAUUUUUUGUUCGUAUUUUAUAAACUAAUUUUUUUUUUACAAUUUUAAAACCUCUAACUUCUUUUUUUGUGCACUUCCUUUUGUUUUUAUUCCUUUUUUUGUUAACUUUUAUUUUAUUUUUUAUCUUUGAUUUUUUAUAUCUUUUUCUUGUAUUUGUUUUUUUUUUCUUUAAACUAAAAGUUUUUUCUGUUUUAUAUUUCAAAUUUCUAUUCAUUUUGUCUUUUUAUAUUUUUUUGAUUUGCUAACUUUUUAUUUUCUUACUUUUUUAUUUUUUUUCCAUUUUUGGUAUUUUAUUUUAUUUUUUCUUUUAUAUUACUAUUUUUUAUUUAUAUUUUUAAAAAAUUUUAUAAAAUUUAAAAUAAUUAUUUUUUGAAUCUUUUUUCUUUUUUCAUUUUCAUUUUUUUUGUUCUAUGUUGUAAUUUUUAAAUAACUUUUUCCCUUCAAAAUUUUCUUUCUUUUUGCUUUUUUUUUUUUUCAUCUGCUUUCAGUGUUGCUUGUUUUAAUUUUUUUGUUGUUUUAAAAUUUUUUAUAUUUCUUUUUUCCUUUUUUAUUCCAAAUCUUUUGUCUUUUCAUUUUUAUUCUUUUCUUGCUUUUCUUAUUUUUUUCACAAAUUUCCUUUCAUUUCUUAUUUGCAUCUUUAAAUUAUUAGACUUUUUUUGUGCACUCUCUUUUGUUUUUAUUUUAUUUUUUAUCUUUGAUUUUUAUAUUUUUUCCUAUAUUUGUUAUAUUUUUUUUUUGUUUUUCUUUGUAUAUUCUGAACUAAAAGUUUUUUCUAUUUUGUAUUUGAAACUUUUAUUCAUUUUUCUUUUAUAUUUUUUUAUUCGCUAAUUUUUUAAUAUCUUACUUUUUUAUGUUUUGCUUUUUUGGUAUUUUAUUGAAUUUUUUCUUCUAUAUUAAUAUUUUAUCUUAAUUUAUUUUUCCAUUUAUUUUUAUUUAUAUUUUAAAAAAUUUUUAUAAAGUUCAAAAUUUUUUUUUUAUUUUCCCUUUUUUUUUUUUGCUAUUUUUGUUCUACUUUGUAAUUUUUUAAUAACUUUUUCCCUUCAAAUUUUCCUUCUUUUUGCUUUUUUUCAUAUGCUUUCGUUUUUACUUGUUUUAAUUUUUUCGUUAUUUUAAAAAUUUUUAUUUUUUUCUUUUUUAUUCCAAAUCUUUUGUCUUUUCAUUUUUAUUCUUUUCUUGCUUUUCUUAUUUUUUUUUCACAAAUUUCCUUUCAUUUCUUAUUUGCGUUUUUAAAUUCUCGUACUUUUUUUAUUUUGCAUUAACUUUUCUCUUUUUUAAUUUUUUUUCUCACUUUUUAUAUUGUUUUAUUAUUAGGCUUAUAUGUUUUUCAAUUUUUUUCCUUUUUUAUUUUCUUACUUUUUAUAUUUUUUGUUGUAUUUUGUUUUUUUUCUUUUUUUGUGCUUUAUUUAUCUUUUUCUUUUGCUUUAAUUUUUUUCUUAUUUUAUUUUUAUUUUUUAUUUCUUUCUUUUUUAUAGUUUCCAUAAAUUUUUGUUAAGUUUCAAAUUUUUUAUUUUUCUAUCUUUUUUUCUUAUUUUAUCAUUCUCGUUAUUUUUAUUGCAUUUUUAUAAUUUUUCAUUAACUUUUUCUCCUUUCAAAUUUUUCUUCUUUUUUUUUAUGUGCUUUCAUUUUUUUUUGUUCACUUUUUUCUUUGUUUUAAAAUUUUCUAUAAAUUUUUUUCUUUUUGUUUUAUUUCAUAUUUUUGCCUCUUCGUUUUUUAUUUUUUUCUUGCUUUCUCUUAAAUCUUUUUGUUCGCACUUUUUUUUAUUUCUUCUUUAUAAUUUUAAAACCUCAAACUUCUUUUUUUGUGCACAUUCUUUUAUUUUUAUUUAUAUUUUUUAUUAACUUUUAUUUUAUUUUUCAUCUUUUCCUCUAUUUGUUAUAUAUAUAUAUAUAUAUAUUUUUGUUUUCUUUGUGCAUUCUAAACUAAAAGUUUUUUCCAUUUUGUAUUUGAAAUUUUUAUUCAUUUUGUCUUUUUAUAUUUUUUUGAUUCGUAAAUUUUUUAUUUUCUUACUUUGUUACUUUUUAUUUUUUUCCUUUUUUGGUAUUUUAUUUAAUUUUUUCUUUUAUAUUAAUAUUUUCUCUUAAUUUAUUUUUUAUUUAUAUUUUAAAAAAUUUUUAUAAAGUUCAAAAUUUUUUAUUUUUUCAUUUUCCUAUUUUUUUGUCUAUUUUUUUUUGCUAUUUUUUGUUCUAUUUUAUAAAUUUUCAAUAACUUUUUCCCUUCAAAAUUUUCUUUCUUUUUGCCUUUUUUUCAUAUGCUUUUGUUUUUAUUUGUUUUAAUUCUUUCAUUGUUUUAAAAUUAUUUAUAUUUCUUAAGCUUUUUUUAUUCCAAAUCUUUUCUUUUCAUUUUUAUUCUUUUCUUUUUUUCACAAAUUUCCUUUCACUUCUUAUUUGCGUUUUUAAAUUCUCAUACUUUUUUUUUUUUGCACUUUCUCCUUUGGUUUUCAUUUUUAUUUUGAAUUAACUUUUCUCUUUUUUAAUUUUUUGCCUUUGACUUUUUAUAUUGUUUUCUCAUUAUGUCUUAUAUGUUUUUCAAUUUUUUGUAUUUUUUGAACUUUUUUUUUAUUUUGUCUUUUUUAUUUUCUUACUUUUUAUAUUUUUAUUGUAUUUUUGUUCAUCUUUUUAUUUUGGUUUAUUUUUUUAUUUUAUCAUUGUUGGUUAUUUUCUAUUGCAUUUUUAUAAUUUUUCUUUAACUUUUUCUCCUUUCAAAUUUUUCUUCUUUUUUUUACUUAUUUUUUCACGUGCUUUCAUAUUUUUUUUGUUUUCACUUUUUAUUCUUUUUUGUUUUAUUUCAUAAUUUUGACUCUUCAUUUUUUAUUUUUUUCUUGUUUUAACUUUUUUUUUUUUGCACUUCCUUGUCUUGUUUUUAUUUUUAUUUUGUAUUAACUUUUUCCCUUUGUUAAUUUUUUUGUCUUUGAUUUUUUUUAUUUUUUUCUUAUUACUUUUUUGCUUAUGUUUUCUAAAUUAAUUUUUUCUAUUUUGUAAUCCCUUUUCAUUUUUUUAUCUUUCAUUUUUUAUACCUUUAUUUCUUAUUGUUUGUUAUAUUUUUUUAUUUUUUGUUCGUAUUUUAUAAACUAAUUUUUUUUUUACAAUUUUAAAACCUCUAACUUCUUUUUUUGUGCACUUCCUUUUGUUUUUAUUCCUUUUUUUGUCAACUUUUAUUUUAUUUUUUAUCUUUGAUUUUUUAUAUCUUUUUCUUGUAUUUGUUUUUUUUUUUCUUUAAACUAAAAGUUUUUUCUGUUUUAUAUUUCAAAUUUCUAUUCAUUUUGUCUUUUUAUAUUUUUUUGAUUUGCUAACUUUUUAUUUUCUUACUUUUUUAUUUUUUUUCCAUUUUUGGUAUUUUAUUUUAUUUUUUCUUUUAUAUUACUAUUUUUUAUUUAUAUUUUUAAAAAUUUUAUAAAAUUUAAAAUAAUUAUUUUUUGAAUCUUUUUUCUUUUUUCAUUUUCAUUUUUUUUGUUCUAUGUUGUAAUUUUUAAAUAACUUUUUCCCUUCAAAAUUUUCUUUCUUUUUGCUUUUUUUUUUUUUUCAUCUGCUUUCAGUGUUGCUUGUUUUAAUUUUUUUGUUGUUUUAAAAUUUUUUAUAUUUCUUUUUUCCUUUUUUAUUCCAAAUCUUUUGUCUUUUCAUUUUUAUUCUUUUCUUGCUUUUCUUAUUUUUUUCACAAAUUUCCUUUCAUUUCUUAUUUGCAUCUUUAAAUUAUUAGACUUUUUUUGUGCACUCUCUUUUGUUUUUAUUUUAUUUUUUAUCUUUGAUUUUUAUAUUUUUUCCUAUAUUUGUUAUAUUUUUUUUUGUUUUUCUUUGUAUAUUCUGAACUAAAAGUUUUUUCUAUUUUGUAUUUGAAACUUUUAUUCAUUUUUCUUUUAUAUUUUUUUAUUCGCUAAUUUUUUAAUAUCUUACUUUUUUAUGUUUUGCUUUUUUGGUAUUUUAUUGAAUUUUUUCUUCUAUAUUAAUAUUUUAUCUUAAUUUAUUUUUCCAUUUAUUUUUAUUUAUAUUUUAAAAAAUUUUUAUAAAGUUCAAAAUUUUUUUUUUUAUUUUCCCUUUUUUUUUUUGCUAUUUUUGUUCUACUUUGUAAUUUUUUAAUAACUUUUUCCCUUCAAAAUUUUCCUUCUUUUUGCUUUUUUUCAUAUGCUUUCGUUUUUACUUGUUUUAAUUUUUUCGUUAUUUUAAAAAUUUUUAUUUUUUUCUUUUUUAUUCCAAAUCUUUUGUCUUUUCAUUUUUAUUCUUUUCUUGCUUUUCUUAUUUUUUUUUCACAAAUUUCCUUUCAUUUCUUAUUUGCGUUUUUAAAUUCUCGUACUUUUUUUAUUUUGCAUUAACUUUUCUCUUUUUUAAUUUUUUUUUCUCACUUUUUAUAUUGUUUUAUUAUUAGGCUUAUAUGUUUUUCAAUUUUUUUCCUUUUUUAUUUUCUUACUUUUUAUAUUUUUGUUGUAUUUUUGUUUUUUUUCUUUUUUGUGCUUUAUUUAUCUUUUUCUUUUGCUUUAAUUUUUUUCUUAUUUUAUUUUUAUUUUUUAUUUCUUUCUUUUUUUAUAGUUUCAUAAUUUUUGUUAAGUUUUCAAAUUUUUUAUUUUUCUAUCUUUUUUUCUUAUUUUAUCAUUCUCGGUUAUUUUUAUUGCAUUUUUAUAAUUUUUCAUUAACUUUUUCUCCUUUCAAAUUUUUCUUCUUUUUUUUAUGUGCUUUCAUUUUUUUUUGUUCACUUUUUUCUUUGUUUUAAAAUUUUCUAUAAAUUUUUUUUCUUUUUGUUUUAUUUCAUAUUUUUGCCUCUUCAUUUUUUAUUUUUUUCUUCUUUUUCUCAUUUUUUUCUCAAAUUUUAUUUUAUAUAUUUUGUAUUUUCAUUUUUUAUUUUUUUCUUGCUUUUUCUUAAAUCUUUUUGUUUGCACUUUUUUUUAUUUCUUCUUUAUAAUUUUAAAACCUCAAACUUCUUUUUUUGUGCACAUUCUUUUAUUUUUAUUUAUAUUUUUUAUUAACUUUUAUUUUAUUUUCAUCUUUUUUCCUCUAUUUGUUAUAUAUAUAUAUAUAUUUUUGUUUUCUUUGUGCAUUCUAAACUAAAAGUUUUUUCGCAUUUUGUAUUUGAAAUUUUUAUUCAUUUUGUCUUUUUAUAUUUUUUUGAUUCGUAAAUUUUUUAUUUUCUUACUUUGUUACUUUUUAUUUUUUUCCUUUUUUCGUAUUUUAUUUUAUUUUUCUUUUAUAUUAAUAUUUUCUCUUAUUUAUUUUUUAUUUAUAUUUAAAAAAUUUUUAUAAAGUUCAAAUUUUUUAUUUUUUCAUUUUCCUAUUUUUUUGUCUAUUUUUUUUUGCUAUUUUUUGUUCUAUUUUAUAAAUUUUCAAUAACUUUUUCCCUUCAAAAUUUUCUUUCUUUUUGCCUUUUUUUCAUAUGCUUUUGUUUUUAUUUGUUUUAAUUCUUUCAUUGUUUUAAAAUUAUUUAUAUUUCUUAAGCUUUUUUUAUUCCAAAUCUUUUCUUUUCAUUUUUAUUCUUUUCUUUUUUCUCACAAAUUUCCUUUCACUUCUUAUUUGCGUUUUUAAAUUCUCAUACUUUUUUUUUUUUGCACUUUCUCCUUUGGUUUUCAUUUUUAUUUUGAAUUAACUUUUCUCUUUUUUAAUUUUUUGCCUUUGACUUUUUAUAUUGUUUUCUCAUUAUGUCUUAUAUGUUUUUCAAUUUUUUGUAUUUUUUGAACUUUUUUUUUUAUUUUGUCUUUUUUAUUUUCUUACUUUUUAUAUUUUUAUUGUAUUUUUGUUCAUCUUUUUAUUUUGGUUUAUUUUUUUAUUUUAUCAUUGUUGGUUAUUUUCUAUUGCAUUUUUAUAAUUUUUCUUUAACUUUUUCUCCUUUCAAAUUUUUCUUCUUUUUUUUACUUAUUUUUUCACGUGCUUUCAUAUUUUUUUUGUUUUCACUUUUUUCUUUGUUUUAAAAUAUUCUAUAAACUUUUUUCUUUUUGUUUUAUUUCAUAAUUUUGACUCUUCAUUUUUUAUUUUUUUCUUGUUUUAACUUUUUUUUUUUGCACUUCCUUGUCUUGUUUUUAUUUUUAUUUUGUAUUAACUUUUUCCCUUUGUUAAUUUUUUUGUCUUUGAUUUUUUUUAUUUUUUUCUUAUUACUUUUUUGCUUAUGUUUUCUAAAUUAAUUUUUUCUAUUUUGUAAUCCCUUUUCAUUUUUUAUCUUUCAUUUUUUAUACCUUUAUUUCUUAUUGUUUGUUAUAUUUUUUUUAUUUUUUGUUCGUAUUUUAUAAACUAAUUUUUUUUUACAAUUUUAAAACCUCUAACUUCUUUUUUUGUGCACUUCCUUUUGUUUUUAUUCCUUUUUUUGUUAACUUUUAUUUUAUUUUUUAUCUUUGAUUUUUUAUAUCUUUUUCUUGUAUUUGUUUUUUUUUUUCUUUAAACUAAAAGUUUUUUCUGUUUUAUAUUUCAAAUUUCUAUUCAUUUUGUCUUUUUAUAUUUUUUUGAUUUGCUAACUUUUUAUUUUCUUACUUUUUUAUUUUUUUCCAUUUUUG